rnacentral:rRNA from 1 species
GAUGAACGCUGGCGGCGUGCUUAACACAUGCAAGUCGAACGAUGAAGCCCAGCUUGCUGGGUGGAUUAGUGGCGAACGGGUGAGUAACACGUGAGCAAUCUGCCCCUGACUCUGGGAUAAGCGCUGGAAACGGCGUCUAAUACCGGAUACGAACCGCCAUCGCAUGGUGAGCGGUUGGAAAGAUUUUUCGGUCUGGGAUGAGCUCGCGGCCUAUCAGCUUGUUGGUGAGGUAAUGGCUCACCAAGGCGUCGACGGGUAGCCGGCCUGAGAGGGUGACCGGCCACACUGGGACUGAGACACGGCCCAGACCCCUACGGGAGGCAGCAGUGGGGAAUAUUGCACAAUGGGCGCAAGCCUGAUGCAGCAACGCCGCGUGAGGGAUGACGGCCUUCGGGUUGUAAACCUCUUUUAGUAGGGAAGAAGCGAGAGUGACGGUACCUGCAGAAAAAGCACCGGCUAACUACGUGCCAGCAGCCGCCGCGG